rnacentral:rRNA from 2 species
GAUUAAGUUAUUAAGGGCGCACGGUGGAUGCCUUGGCACUAGAAGCCGAUGAAGGACGUUACUAACGACGAUAUGCUUUGGGGAGCUGUAAGUAAGCUUUGAUCCAGAGAUUUCCGAAUGGGGAAACCCAGCAUGAGUUAUGUCAUGUUAUCGAUAUGUGAAUACAUAGCAUAUCAGAAGGCACACCCGGAGAACUGAAACAUCUUAGUACCCGGAGGAAGAGAAAGAAAAUUCGAUUCCCUUAGUAGCGGCGAGCGAAACGGGAAGAGCCCAAACCAACAAGCUUGCUUGUUGGGGUUGUAGGACACUCUAUACGGAGUUACAAAGGACGACAUUAGACGAAUCAUCUGGAAAGAUGAAUCAAAGAAGGUGAUAAUCCUGUAGUCGAAAAUGUUGUCUCUCUUGAGUGGAUCCUGAGUACGACGGAGCACGUGAAAUUCCGUCGGAAUCUGGGAGGACCAUCUCCUAAGGCUAAAUACUCUCUAGUGACCGAUAGUGAACCAGUACCGUGAGGGAAAGGUGAAAAGCACCCCGGAAGGGGAGUGAAAUAGAACCUGAAACCGUGUGCUUACAAGUAGUCAGAGCCCGUUAAUGGGUGAUGGCGUGCCUUUUGUAGAAUGAACCGGCGAGUUACGAUUUGAUGCAAGGUUAAGCAGUAAAUGUGGAGCCGUAGCGAAAGCGAGUCUGAAUAGGGCGUUUAGUAUUUGGUCGUAGACCCGAAACCAGGUGAUCUACCCUUGGUCAGGUUGAAGUUCAGGUAACACUGAAUGGAGGACCGAACCGACUUACGUUGAAAAGUGAGCGGAUGAACUGAGGGUAGCGGAGAAAUUCCAAUCGAACCUGGAGAUAGCUGGUUCUCUCCGAAAUAGCUUUAGGGCUAGCCUCAAGUGAUGAUUAUUGGAGGUAGAGCACUGUUUGGACGAGGGGCCCCUCUCGGGUUACCGAAUUCAGACAAACUCCGAAUGCCAAUUAAUUUAACUUGGGAGUCAGAACAUGGGUGAUAAGGUCCGUGUUCGAAAGGGAAACAGCCCAGACCACCAGCUAAGGUCCCAAAAUAUAUGUUAAGUGGAAAAGGAUGUGGCGUUGCCCAGACAACUAGGAUGUUGGCUUAGAAGCAGCCAUCAUUUAAAGAGUGCGUAAUAGCUCACUAGUCGAGUGACACUGCGCCGAAAAUGUACCGGGGCUAAACAUAUUACCGAAGCUGUGGAUUGUCCUUUGGACAAUGGUAGGAGAGCGUUCUAAGGGCGUUGAAGCAUGAUCGUAAGGACAUGUGGAGCGCUUAGAAGUGAGAAUGCCGGUGUGAGUAGCGAAAGACGGGUGAGAAUCCCGUCCACCGAUUGACUAAGGUUUCCAGAGGAAGGCUCGUCCGCUCUGGGUUAGUCGGGUCCUAAGCUGAGGCCGACAGGCGUAGGCGAUGGAUAACAGGUUGAUAUUCCUGUACCACCUAUAAUCGUUUUAAUCGAUGGGGGGACGCAGUAGGAUAGGCGAAGCGUGCGAUUGGAUUGCACGUCUAAGCAGUAAGGCUGAGUAUUAGGCAAAUCCGGUACUCGUUAAGGCUGAGCUGUGAUGGGGAGAAGACAUUGUGUCUUCGAGUCGUUGAUUUCACACUGCCGAGAAAAGCCUCUAGAUAGAAAAUAGGUGCCCGUACCGCAAACCGACACAGGUAGUCAAGAUGAGAAUUCUAAGGUGAGCGAGCGAACUCUCGUUAAGGAACUCGGCAAAAUGACCCCGUAACUUCGGGAGAAGGGGUGCUCUUUAGGGUUAACGCCCAGAAGAGCCGCAGUGAAUAGGCCCAAGCGACUGUUUAUCAAAAACACAGGUCUCUGCUAAACCGUAAGGUGAUGUAUAGGGGCUGACGCCUGCCCGGUGCUGGAAGGUUAAGAGGAGUGGUUAGCUUCUGCGAAGCUACGAAUCGAAGCCCCAGUAAACGGCGGCCGUAACUAUAACGGUCCUAAGGUAGCGAAAUUCCUUGUCGGGUAAGUUCCGACCCGCACGAAAGGCGUAACGAUUUGGGCACUGUCUCAACGAGAGACUCGGUGAAAUCAUAGUACCUGUGAAGAUGCAGGUUACCCGCGACAGGACGGAAAGACCCCGUGGAGCUUUACUGUAGCCUGAUAUUGAAAUUCGGCACAGCUUGUACAGGAUAGGUAGGAGCCUUUGAAACGUGAGCGCUAGCUUACGUGGAGGCGCUGGUGGGAUACUACCCUAGCUGUGUUGGCUUUCUAACCCGCACCACUUAUCGUGGUGGGAGACAGUGUCAGGCGGGCAGUUUGACUGGGGCGGUCGCCUCCUAAAAGGUAACGGAGGCGCUCAAAGGUUCCCUCAGAAUGGUUGGAAAUCAUUCAUAGAGUGUAAAGGCAUAAGGGAGCUUGACUGCGAGACCUACAAGUCGAGCAGGGUCGAAAGACGGACUUAGUGAUCCGGUGGUUCCGCAUGGAAGGGCCAUCGCUCAACGGAUAAAAGCUACCCCGGGGAUAACAGGCUUAUCUCCCCCAAGAGUUCACAUCGACGGGGAGGUUUGGCACCUCGAUGUCGGCUCAUCGCAUCCUGGGGCUGUAGUCGGUCCCAAGGGUUGGGCUGUUCGCCCAUUAAAGCGGUACGCGAGCUGGGUUCAGAACGUCGUGAGACAGUUCGGUCCCUAUCCGUCGUGGGCGUAGGAAAUUUGAGAGGAGCUGUCCUUAGUACGAGAGGACCGGGAUGGACAUACCUCUGGUGUACCAGUUGUCGUGCCAACGGCAUAGCUGGGUAGCUAUGUGUGGACGGGAUAAGUGCUGAAAGCAUCUAAGCAUGAAGCCCCCCUCAAGAUGAGAUUUCCCAACUUCGGUUAUAAGAUCCCUCAAAGAUGAUGAGGUUAAUAGGUUCGAGGUGGAAGCAUGGUGACAUGUGGAGCUGACGAAUACUAAUCGAUCGAAGACUUAAUCAA